UGGGGAAUAUUGCACAAUGGGCGAAAGCCUGAUGCAGCAACGCCGCGUGAGGGAUGAAGGCCUUCGGGUUGUAAACCUCUUUUAGUAGGGAAGAAGCGAAAGUGACGGUACCUACAGAAAAAGCACCGGCUAACUACGUG
rnacentral:rRNA from 1 species